CCCUUAGAUGUUCUGGGCCGCACGCGCGCUACACUGAUGCAUUCAACGAGUCUAAAACCUGCUCUGAUAGGGGUGGGUAAUCUUUUGAAUGUGCAUCGUGAUGGGGAUAGAUGAUUGCAAUUUUUCAUCUUCAACGAGGAAUGCCUAGUAAACGCAAGUCAUCAGCUUGCAUUGAUUACGUCCCUGCCCUUUGUACACACCGCCCGUCGCUCCUACCGAUUGAAUGAUCCGAUGAAUAUCAUGGAUUGAGGAUUAUAGCAGGUUCGCCUGUCUUGAUCUUCGAGAAGUGAAGUAAAUCUUAUCAUUUAGAGGAAGGAGAAGUCGUAACA
rnacentral:rRNA from 1 species